rnacentral:rRNA from 1 species
UACAGAGGGUGCAAGCGUUGUUCGGAAUUAUUGGGCGUAAAGGGUAGGUAGGUGGUUUAUGUAAGUCUGCUGUGAAAGCCCCGAGCUUAACUUGGGAAGUGCGGCAGAUACUGCUAAACUUGAGUGCCUGAGGGGUGCGUGGAAUUCCCGGUGUAGCGGUGAAAUGCGUAGAUAUCGGGAGGAACAUCAGAGGCGAAGGCGGCGCACUGGAAGGUAACUGACACUCAACUACGAAAGCGUGGGGAGCAAACAGG